CUACGGGGGGCAGCCGUGGGGAAUAUUGCACAAUGGGCGCAAGCCUGAUGCCGCCAUGCCGCGUGUGUGAAGAAGGCCUUCGGGUUGUAAAGCACUUUCAGCGGGGAGGAAGGCGGUGAGGUUAAUAACCUCAUCGAUUGACGUUACCCGCAGAAGAAGCACCGGCUAACUCCGUGCCAGCAGCCGCGGUAAUACGGAGGGUGCAAGCGUUAAUCGGAAUUACUGGGCGUAAAGCGCACGCAGGCGGUCUGUCAAGUCGGAUGUGAAAUCCCCGGGCUCAACCUGGGAACUGCAUUCGAAACUGGCAGGCUAGAGUCUUGUAGAGGGGGGUAGAAUUCCAGGUGUAGCGGUGAAAUGCGUAGAGAUCUGGAGGAAUACCGGUGGCGAAGGCGGCCCCCUGGACAAAGACUGACGCUCAGGUGCGAAAGCGUGGGGAGCAAACAGGAUUAGAUACCCUUGUAGUC
rnacentral:rRNA from 1 species